GAGGAAGGAUCUGCGCCUGCGCCGAGGCCAGAAAGGCUGAGACAGGGCUCCUAAAUGGAAAGGCACUCUCAGCCAGAUGGAGUUUAGCUGAGUGCAGAGGAUUUAUGAGAACACAAUAGCACAGAUUGCUGAAGGACAGAACGGUCGGAGUGGGACUAGGAGCCUGGAGCGGGGGCGGGGACUUGAACAUUCCAGGCUCUGUGAACUAAGUGACUGAAGCUGAUUGACACAGGUCAAGGGGACUUCAAGGAAGAAAGCCAGCCUUAGACUGACAUCAGAGAACCAAACUCCGGUGUCUAAGCUCAAGUAAUACAAGUAAUUGGGAAGACACUGGCUCAGAGCCUGUCUCUGGUGACCACUGAAUUGUCCAGCACCUGAGGUCCCUGGAGCCCACGGACUGAGCCCAUCUGGGCUAAAAGAGGUCCCAUACAUCCUUCUCAAAGGCCUAUAUAAAUGCCAAGCAGAGUUAUAGCAGGAGGUUAGAAUCCUGAGAACUGUUUGGAAUAAGGAAUCCAAAUAUUGUCUUCCAGCUUCACCUUGUCACGACAGUCCUCGCCAGGGACAGCUGAGGAUGGAAACCAGCCCUGCACACUGCUGGCUCUGGAGGCCUGGUAGAUUAACAGGCACCGGACUUACAAUUGGUCUCUUAAGCCUUUCAACUCUUUAGAAGCAAAGGGGAAGGCAUGGAGGGUGCCAUGAAAUCAAAGACAUUGUUCGUAAGCUCCUGGAUCUUAUCAGUGUGAGGAAGUGUUCAAAAAAGUUCUGUCCCCCCUAGAGACAAAAAGACCUCUUCUCUGCCUCCCAGCUCCCAUGGCGCCUCUCUCGAUACGUGGCCUCUUCUGAUACUUACCUCAGCUUGGACACAGCUCUCUGAAGAUCAUCUACAUCUCCAUUUAUGCCGUGUGCACGCAGUACCAACAGAGGUCAGAGGAGGGUGUCGGAUCCCCUGGAACUGGAGUCACAGAUUCUUCCUUGCGUGGAUGAAACAGUCCCAACGAACACUUUAAAAAGACAAAUGUUCCCGACAGCACUGGUUGAAUUCAAAACUCGGCAGAUCCAUGUUCUUAUCCUUAGACAAGAGAGGGGCCAUAACAAGAUGGAAUGACGGAACAGACGUGAGAGAUGAUGUCCACCCAGAGGGUCUGCACUUCUCGGAGCCAGAAGGUGGAGAAGAGUAGGGAUGGAGGAAGUUCGAAGUUUUAGGAGUCUGCUCUUGGGUCCCUAGGCAUGAGGACAAGCUUUUCCUGUACUCAAUGCUCAUCUCUCAGUUGUGCCCACAUUGGUACACAUUACUUGCUUUCAACUGCUGCUGCUGCUGUUUCCUAAUUCAAUAAAGAUAUGGCUGGCUCAGCAGAGAGCUGUCAUCC
rnacentral:lncRNA from 1 species